rnacentral:rRNA from 1 species
GAAAGGCGGGCUAAACCCGCGUACAUGCCACCGGGGCAUCCCGGAGGCAGGAAAGGCUUCGGCCGGACAGGGAUGGGCAUGCGGCGCAUUAGGCAGUAGGCGGGGUAACGGCCCACCUAACCGACGAUGCGUAGGGGUUCUGAGAGGAAGGUCCCCCACACUGGUACUGAGACACGGACCAGACUCCUACGGGAGGCAGCAGUGAGGAAUAUUGGUCAAUGGUCGGGAGACUGAACCAGCCAAGCCGCGUGAGGGAUGAAGGUACAGAGUAUCGUAAACCUCUUUUGUCAGGGAACAAAGGCGGGGACGUGUCCCCGGAUGAGUGUACCUGAAGAAAAAGCAUCGGCUAACUCCGUGCCAGCAGCCGCGGUAAUACGGAGGAUGCGAGCGUUAUCCGGAUUUAUUGGGUUUAAAGGGUGCGCAGGCGGUCUGUUAAGUCAGCGGUCAAAGCCCGGGGCUCAACCCCGGCCCGCCGUUGAAACUGGCAGUCUCGAGUUGGAGAGAAGUAUGCGGAAUGCGCGGUGUAGCGGUGAAAUGCAUAGAUAUCGCGCAGAACUCCGAUUGCGAAGGCAGCAUGCCGGCUCCACACUGACGCUGAGGCACGAAAGCGUGGGUAUCGAACAGGAUUAGAUACCCUGGUAGUCC